AGAUCGACGGGGGGAGGGGGGGGUUCUCGAACUCUCAAGGAGGGGGCCUCCGAGAGAGCGGGAGCCUCCGAUGGGAGCUGAGGGGACAGGUGGGACCCUAGAGAUCGUGUGGAAGCUGGGAACUGGGCUUCGGAGGAGGCUCCUCUCAGAGGAGCCGUUGAAGCGCCACUGUGACUGCCCCUCUUGAAGACCCACUGCAUCUUGUGCGUGGUACCACGGAAUCCCUCAGGAAUCAUCAUCCCUGGGCCUUCCUCUACUUUUGAGAGAUGGCCCUGGUCACACCCACCCUCCGUAGACGCUGAGAAUGAGUAGGCAGAGGCCCAGGGACAUGGUUUUGUGAGGCAAUGUGUCUAGUGUUGGUCACUGGGAGAGUCCAAGGAACUAGCAACGGUGGUAGGUUUUUAGCUUAGACCCCAGGGUCAAGUUCAGGUUCUGCCACUUCUUGGGCAUCCCAGACAUCUCAUUUACUCGCUCAUUCCUCGUUUGUUUAAAAAUUAAAAAAAAAAAAAAGACUAGUAAAAGAUGAGUGCAGAUUAAGUACUGCUAGGAUGUGAUCCGCAGUCUGUAUGGCCUCUCAGCCCGGGGAUCUCACCCUAGGGUGCUAUGCCAGAAUGGGACCUGAAGAAGUCCAGAAUCUGAAACGAAAACUGGCCGCAGUAGUGCUGCAAGCGGGUCAACGUUUGCUCCCAUCACUUGACAUAACAGAAGAACCUGUCCCUCGGACCAGCCCUCCAGUGGGUUCUGCAGCCUUCCUAAAGGCUGGGCACACGGGCUCUUGUUGACAAAGUAAGACACUGCUUCGCAAACUAAAGGACUAUCACUGCAAGGAACCUGCAUCGCCAAACAGUGACCUAACAGACACCACAGAUUCUCUGUAAGAAAAGCAAACUGAGAAAAGCAGUGGUUUAAAACAAGGAAUGAUGUUGCUGUUUUUAAAUUAGAUGCAAAGUUUGGCUUUUUACACUACUUUAAAAUAAAGGACCUGAACAGACA